GCGAGCUUAGCUCAGUUGGUAGAGCACGACCUUGCCAAGGUCGGGGUCGAGGGUUCGAACCCCUUAGCUCGCUCCA
rnacentral:tRNA from 1 species